rnacentral:siRNA from 1 species
UGUUGUGGCGGCGAUAUAAC